CAAAACUAGCCUUGCCAGCCCUACUUUCACCUCUCAUGUCCUUCUGAUAGGGAAUGAAGGAAGCUAAGUUCCUAUGACUUCAUAGCAAAAUUUGAGAUUGUGAACUCAAAUAGCUUUAGCUCAACAGUACUAAAAUAAAAAUUUCAAAUCAAAUCUCAAUCCAACCAAAUAAGAGAAGAAUAAUGGCAGGCUCAAGUACCAAGCUCCACUUCCAUUACCAACCACCUAUCUCCAUUCAAUUGUUGAGGCCAAAACAUUUGCAAGGGAUCACAACAGAUGGUAUGUUUUCAAUUUUCCUCCAUUGCCAUCUAACAAAAAUAACAUCUAGGAAGCAGGACAUAGAAAUGAGAUUUCUCCAUACUUUCUGAUUUGCAUCCCAGACCAGGGAGCUCUAGAGAGAACUUGGACAUGAAGGGUUUCAAGCAUAUGCACUGUCAGAAAAGCUGAUACAUGAAAUCAUAAAAGAGAUGAUGCAUUCUUUGGUGUGUAUCAAAUACUACUAAUGAAGGAUUAUUCCUCUUAUAGAUCAUUAAAUCUAUAGUUUCUCGCCAUCUUAUGCAUAAGUCUAGAAAUACAAGUCCAAAAAGUCUGAGGAAGUUUAUGGCUAAAAUGUAUGGAAAAGGCUAAAAUAAUGUCAAUAGUAAAUCUAUGAAACUCGGGCUUCAAUACCAUUCGUAUAAGCAUUGCUGACCACAUCUCUGGAGCCAACCUUACUGCUUGGCGUAGAUAUUGAAACCCAUUAACCACCCUCAUGAACAUUGAAUGGCCCUCAGACUUAGAUUCCUCUCUUGCUUCGUGUUUCUCAUCUAAAAUGUAACCAACAACUUCAUCUUCUAAAAUAACAUCAGCCACCUUAAUCAUAUCCCGGACAAGGAAAACACGCACCCUCCAACCCUUUUCAGAUAGAAUGAAAUGCAAAAGAUCAUCCGUGGCACCAACGACAGCACGCAUAUCAAAUGAUUUCCAUUCCAAGGUAUUUGAAGAAUUUGCUUCAGAAUUAGAGGCCUCUCCUGCAGACUCCGAAGCCUGUUCAGAUAUCGCCACUAUCAGGCGCUCUAACCGAUUCCAUCUCACAGAUCCAUCAUUGCAGAUGAGAAGUUCCCUCAAAAUUCUUCUCAUAUCAGGAUUUGGGUCAGCUAAAAGUCUCCCAAUGACAAAAGGAUAUGCACUCUCAACAACUUUGAAAUUUGGAUCCAGAACUUGUGCUGUGCCUUCAAGUGAUCCCAGUGCUCUUACCACCAGUGCAUAGUCCGGGGGAAGGGAGAAGUCAAAUUCAUACAUGACAUCAUAUAAUUGGUUCAUUAUUGCCUCAAAAUCUCGAGAUUGUUUAGUCCCAUCACCAAAGGAUGCUUGCAAUGCAUCCGAAACUGAUUGGAUAUCAACCCCUUCAGGAAUAAAUCCCAAAGAAAGAAAAUCAUUUGCCAAACCCAGAGAGUCACGAUUAACAAAGUGCACAAGCAUUUGAAUGAGCCCCACACGGAAAUGUCGAGGAAUAUCCCCCAUCAUUCCAAAGUCAAAAUAUGCAAGAGAGCCACUGUCAAUAGCAACAAGGUUUCCUGGAUGUGGAUCAGCAUGGAAAAAUCCUACCUCAAGCAAUUGCCUCAAAGAGCAGUAUAAACCCUGGUCUAUCAGUUUCCUUCUGUUCAAACAGGCCUUUUUAAGUCUUGCUUCAUCUGUAAGUUUGAUUCCAUCAACCCAUUCCAUAGUAAGCACGCCCUUGCAUGUCAUAUCCCAAUAUAUUUUAGGAACUUUAACACAAUUUUCUUUCUUCUGAUGCAUGGCAUUUCCAAGAUGGCUCUUUGGAUCAUUACAUGGGUCACAACCAUAGAGAGAAGCAAAGCGUUCAGCAUUUUUCCCCUCUAGGAUGUAAUCAAUUUCAUCAAACAUGUGCCUGACCAUCUCAUUAACUGCUACUAAUAGAUCCUUGCGGGCUUUGGCAAAACGCUUCAAUUGACCACCAAUCAUAUGAAAUAACAGAGCAUCAAGGGUCAACAGAAGUGACAUACCUGGCCUCUGUACCUUAACAGCUACAAGCUCACCCGAAUGCAGAUGAGCUGCAAUACUUUAUACACUUGUCCCAAGGAUGCUGCAGCAAUUGGCUCUGGACUAAUGUCAGAAAAAAUUUGUGAAAUUGGAACGCCCAACUGGGAUUCAAUAGAUUUAAUGGCAACAUGUGUUGGAAAUGGUGGUAUUUGAUCCUGUAACUUAGCAAGCUCUUGACAAUAGACAGUUGGCAAAAUAUCUGGUCUAAUGCUCAGCGCCUGCCCGAGCUGCAAAAUUAGAUGAGAAUGAGCACAAAUGCAAUGCUAGGAAGCAAUUGAAGACUUGAUUAUAGAUUUAAAAUUUCUAUCCAGUUAAGAACAUUCUGAGCUUAGUUCUUCAAUCCCACUAAAUAGGGAACCAGAAUGCAGGAAACUGUAAUGCUGCAUUAAUUAUCAGUCCUCAUCGCAUCCUUUGCACAAUAUCUCAAAUCCAAUUGCACCAAGAGGACUGAUAGGUCACCAAACAAAGCAAAGAAAAUACACAGUUUCGCAUCCAAAGUCAUUAGAACUAAGCACUGAAGAAAAGAACGAGUGAGAGACAAUCAUCUAGAAAACCUCUUAGACCACGCAUAAAUUUUCUCAAUGGAUAUCCACGCACCACUGUCACCAGAUACUAGCAAUAAAACUUUCGGCAGCACCCAAGAAGAAUGGAAUAUAAUCAAAUGACAAAUCUGACAAGAAUCUAGCAUGAAAUAAGAGAAUAUGCAUGAAGCAACACAAUGUAAAUUGAUUUAAUUGUAAGAGAAGCAGAAGAAAAUACAAUUGUGUUCGACAAUUUCACAACAGUUUUACUUGCCUUGAUGUAGAAAGGCCCCAAGUGGAUUAGAGUUUCCCGAAACUUGAUGGCACGCUUUUUUAUGUCUUGAACAAAAAAUUGCCAAAGGGUUAACUUCAAGACAUGAUAGGAAAUGAUCGCUGCUCUAUAAAAUGCCAAAAAUGGACCAAAUCGGUAGAUGAUGGAUACUCUUUCAGAACUGUAAGUACCAAGAGCUUGCCCAAAUUCACUUUCAAGUGAUUCCUUCCUCAACUUAGCAUACUCCGCAGAUGGCCUUUCCCCAUGCACACUGGUAAAAGCUGUAGAGAAUCUUCGGUUCAAGAAGUAUGGCAGAAACAGAUUAUAUUGUCUUCUGAUUUCAAUAUCUUCCUGACCUAGCCAUGUACAAUUCCUCAGACUGGUCAUCACAUUACCAUCCUCAUAUAAAGCUGCAAAGAAAACCCAAUUUUUUUAUUGUAAGCAAAGAAAAUAUUAAUCAUAAUAUAACCCAAUAAGCUGAAACAGAGUAUGUAUUAACAUGGUAAUUGUUCAUGGGGAUUUAUUGUAUACAAUUUCAUGUAUUAGCUAAGAAGUUAAAUGAACAUUUGCUGGCUUGCUUUUAUGAAAAAUGUCCCUUCUUUUUGUUCCCUAGCAUCCACUUCUUCCAUCUUUCUUUCGUUCUUUUCCUCAUUUUUCUCUUUAGGUAGCAGUCAUUAGUAGUAGGCUUAAUUCACCUAAUUGCAAAUCCAGCAGGAAGUCAUAUAAGCUGAUGUGCUUGUAGAUUCUAGUAAUUUCACCAAUGACAAUUAAAAUUGACCUUUUCCAAACCAAUAUUCUCAACAAUGCACUGACUAUCAACACAAGAAUAUUGCGUGUAACUCGAUAAAAAAACCCAAAUUGCAACUUUACUGGAUCACGUGUCAUAGUGUAAAACAAAAUCGACAUGCAAAAAAUCAACGAUGACAACAUUCAAACAUAAUCUGAAUUUGCAAUCACCAUAUCAAUCACGUAACAAAAUUUCGCGCAAACGCUUAUUCUACUGCGAUCAAGUAAAACUGGAAAAAAAACAAACAGCUUAGAAAAUUUCGUUCCCUUCUUCCACCUAGUUUUCUCGGGAACCAAACAAAAUUCGCAGAAAUGAGAAGGGAAUCACAGGUAUUGGUGAAGAAUAGUAUACAGUACUUCUAGAGAGAAGUGUGGCAUGGCGGCGACGCUUGAGACUCCUAAACAUAUUCCUCAUUGGCUAUUGUAAUAUCUCAACAAACGAAUGGAAGAAAACAUCAGAAGCUAAAACAUUUCAAUUGCAGAGUAACUGUUUGCAGAAAUGUAAAUGCUACUUUGUCAAGGGGUAGGGGAAACUUGGUCUGCUUGAUGAUUAGAGAACUGCUAAGUUUGAUCUACCCGGCGCCCUCGCAGAACGUUAGAAGACCCAAAAAGGGCCAAACCUGCGUUUGCUGAAGCUGAACAUUUGCUCUUUGGAGUUGCAGCUAUG
rnacentral:misc_RNA from 1 species